AUCUUAUUGAUUGAUGAAAAGAAUCCAAUGAAUGAAAUAAUACAUAACUACUCCUAUAUAUACAAUCUAAGCAAGUAAAGAAAGUAACUAACUCCGUAAUUGGAGGGAAAAUCUUUUACAAAAAUCCUAUCUAUUAGACCACGUGUACAUUGACUAAACUCUGUACGUGGCAUUUCUUCUUCAAAAGUGUGAAUGAACUGUUCAUGGUAAGAGACUGCUUCAAUCAAGUCUAGCCCAGUCACUCUGUGUUUUAGUUGCUUGAUCACUGCUCUCUUCUUCAACUCUGGUUUUAAGCUUGCUCUUGUCCUGAGUGCAUCCCUUCUUACUUUCAACAACAAGCCAGUUGAGGAGGAUUCAGCAUUAGACAAAUAUUCCCGCACCAGAACUUCUCUCUUCAACUCCAAACAAUACUAAAACAUACGGGACUAAUGGAAUAUUCUAAAUAUCAUGAGGCAUAAAUGACUGCCUUAAAAGAUCAAGCCUCCAGAAAUGAGUAUCCAUAUCUAUCAACUCAGCAACCUUAGCUUCAGGAUGAAAGUAACUUCAGGUGAUAGUAUCUGAUGAGAUUCAGCAGCAGAAAGCCAUCUAUCUUUGAAAAUACAGUCUCCCCAUUUCCAAUCCUCCCACACAAUCCCUGUUUCAGUAUUUUCCUUCCAGCUAAUACACUUUGCCAAGUAUAUGAUGGAGCACGACCCAACUUGGCUUGAAGGAAAGAACAGUGAGGAUAUUACAUGGUCUUCCAAAUUCUUGCUAAGAUUGAGUCUGGAUCAUUCAAAAUUUUCCACCCUUGCUUAGCCAACAUAGCAAGAUUAAAAGAUUGCAGCUCCUUGAAACCCAAUCCACCAUUGCGUUUAGAAACACAUAAGUUGUCCCAUAGCCCAAUGCAUCUUCUGUUCUGAAUGCUUCUGCCCUCACCAAUAAGCAGCUGUCGUUUGAGUGAGUUCCUUGCAUAACCUCACAGGUAGUUGGAAGAAACUCAUAACAUAGGAAGGGAUGGCUUGUAUGACUGACUUUAUCAAAACUUCCUUCCCAACAAUAGGCAGAUUCUUCUCCUUCCAACCAUAUAGUCUACUUGAAACUUGGGAUUUUAAAUCUUCAAAUGCAGCACGUCUAGAGCAACCAAUAAAAGCUGGAACCCCAAAUAACAAUCAAAACUAUUUGUUUCUUGACCAACCAAUAGAGUUGUAAAUAAAUCACAGUCAGAUUGUUGCACAUUUGAACUGAAGAAAACUUGGGUUUUUGCUCUGUUAACAACCAGACCUGACAGUUUCUCAUAACAGCCAAAAACACGAAGAAUCUCAUCACAAGUCAUACUUGAUGCUUUCCUAAAGAUGACACAAUCAUCUGUAAAGAAUAAAUGAUUCAAACAAGGACCUCCACAACUAGCAGCACCUCCAGAUAACCAUUUGGCUUGCUAAGAUUGUGUUAAUUGGCUUGAUAGUCCUGCACAAAGAAGAAAGAUAUAUGGGGAGAUAAGGUAACCUUGGCAUAAUCCUCUGUUAGAACUGAAAAAACCUUUUGGAGAACCAAUGAUUAAAACCAAGUAUGUAGGAGUAGAGGAUACACUCCAGAACCAAAUUGAUCCAGCUCGAACCAAAGCCUAAAUUCUGCACCAUCAUUCUUAGAAAAGGCAACUCAAUAUGAUCAUAAAGCUUUACUCAUAAUUAAAAGAAAAAAAAAAAAUUAUGUAACUAUUAUUAUAAGCACUCAGCAUUUGUUGACAGAGUUUUGUGCCAAUUUAUGGGUUCAUUCAACUUAUGUACAACUUUUUAAAGUGUUAUUUAUUUUUUAUUUUUUAUAAAAGUUUUGUCAAAUUUAUUUUUUAAGCCCAAGAAGGCAACUACUCAGGCAGCAUUCGUGCUCUAUAUGAUUAGCUGAUUUCUUCAAUUACAUGCACAAAUUAAACAGGUUCCCUAAGGUGGCUGAACUUACCAGUGUGUUGGCUGGAAAUCUGUGGCAGGAUUAACACUUGUAUGCUGUCCCUAGCCACACUGUAUACAGCUUACCUUGAGUUCAAGACAACUACAGCGUCAUAUGGAUUUGAAUUCCAACCUAUUCAGGCCGUGCUUGGACUUGUUGGAGGAGAAAUUCAUAAGCAGUCUAUCUAUUUGUAUGCAGAAAGAGGGUGGAGGCUGUGAUACAAGAUAUUACCAAUGCGAGUUGGGUUUUUUAACAGCUGCCACAGCAGCAUUACAGGAUUUCACACACCACAGCCACAGCCUAGAGAAAACGAGGAACUGGAUGGCCUUAAGUAUCCCAAGGAGAGAGUAGAUGGGUGGCUGGAGACUGAGUUAGGUGAGUUCUUCAAUGAAUCAGGAGAAGAUCAUGGGGAACUUGAAAUGAGCAUUUUGGAGGUCAAAGAUGGUGACUGGAAGGGUGGCCUCAUUCUUCAAGGGACUGAGAUAAAGCUAAACCUUAAUUGAAUUUGUUGUUUUGAUUCAAUUUAGUAAGGUGAUUGAAGAAAAGGCAAAGAAUGUGGUAUGGGAUAUCGGAUGGCCUUGUGAUGAAAAAAAUAUUAGGAGCGAGAUAUAUAGCAUUAGUGCAGCACAUUGUGAUGGUACCAGGUGCAAAGAUGACAAAAGCAUGUCUAACACCUGUAACUCAGAAAUCAUCCUGCAUGGGUGGGUUUUAAAAUUUUAUGUCUCUCUAGUUAUUCUUGUAAUUGGAACAUGGAUUUCAGCCAAUAAAUUGAAUGGAAGUCUAUGCUUUAUUCAUCUAUUUUUAUUACUUUUUCUGUUAUAAUUUUUCUUUUAUAUAUAGAUAUUCAUUAGUAAAGUAAAAUGAUUAAUUUUUUGUUUGCACUGUGACUAGAUUAUUUUCAUUGAGAUAAAAAUAUAAUUCAUAUAAAAUGUUAUAUAUGUGUGUCUGUGUGGGUGUGUGUGUGUGUGUGUGUGAGAGAGAGAGAGAGAGAGAGAGAAAGUGCAAUAUCAGGGAUACACCUGGUUGAAUGGGGUUGGACAUGUGUAAGCUCUACUCAUAUCGUCUCUCACCCUCAAGCACUGGCACCAUAUUGCUUCUUCUUUAUCCAAAAGUCUUCAAUCUGCUUCUUUAAAGUGUUAGCUUGCACACCAAUCACAGGAUUGGGAAAGUGAUCAAUAACCUGAAGUUCUUGAUGUCCUGUACAAAUUUGAUUGUAAAUAUUACCAAAGCAAAGUCUCUGCCAACAUCUUCUACAGACCUACAAAUGUUCACAAAUGCUCUACAAGGGGCUGCCCAUCACAUUCACAGAAGUCCACACCUCCUCAAUUAGUGCUUCACAACUUGGAUUAGAUGACCAAGCCAUUUCAAAACUAAAAGGCUUCCUUGUACAUUGCCGAAGGACCAGAGUCAAGACAAAUAAAAAUAAUAGAGCGGUCUGAACCAGUUGAAGAAACAUGCUCAACAACAGUAGAAGGAAAUAUCUCAAUCAAAGAGGCAGAAGCCAAUGCUCUAUCCAGGCGAGCACAAGUA